rnacentral:rRNA from 1 species
GACGAACGCUGGCGGCGUGCUUAACACAUGCAAGUCGAACGGAAAGGCCCCUUCGGGGGUACUCGAGUGGCGCACGGGUGAGUAACACGUGCGUAACCUGCCCUUGACUUCGGGAUAACUUCAGGAAACUGGGGCUAAUACCGGAUAGGAAUCCUUGCUGCAUGGUGGGGGUUGGAAAGCUUCGGCGGUCUUGGAUGGACUCGCGGCUUAUCAGCUUGUUGGUGGGGUAGUGGCUUACCAAGGCUUUGACGGGUAGCCGGCCUGAGAGGGCGACCGGCCACAUUGGGACUGAGAUACGGCCCAGACUCCUACGGGAGGCAGCAGUGGGGAAUAUUGCACAAUGGGCGGAAGCCUGAUGCAGCAACGCCGCGUGCGGGAUGACGGCCUUCGGGUUGUAAACCGCUUUCAGCAGGGGCGAAGCUUGUGGUGACGGUACCUGCAGAAGAAGCACCGGCUAACUACGUG